UGUCCAUGACAUUACCCUUGUGGGGAUCUACAUAGGCAGGCACACAACCUAGUUGCAUCACGUUCACACCCAGGAUCACAUGAUGUUUUGAAAAGUCACAUGACCAAUUAGGAAGUGAUAAGUGUCUGCUGGUUGCAAGGCAGAUUCUCUUUGUGUUGGUGCUGGACACUGUUGUGCGUGUUGGGCUUCCUUUUCAGUGGUAAUUUCUAGAAGUGUGUGUCUACUCUUCAUGGAGGACACAGGCUUCUGCAUGGAGUUUUAAAAUGUGUUGUGAUCACCUCAUUGUGACCUGAGCUGCUGGGCUGCAUCGCAACGGAAUGUUCACCUUUGUCUUCAUAUGUCAAUGAGCUGUGGGACAGUUGAGCAUACUGAAAAGUAGGCCUAUAUUUUUUAGCCAUGUUUGAGUUGACUAUGAUAUGCUGUUUAAUGAGGCUGGCAACUAACAUGAUUGUUUAUUUCCCAAAAGGGACCAGGCCAGCCACUGUUUUCUUGUGAUUAAUGUGCAUUUUUUUAUUGUUUUGUUGGUUUGUUUGUGUGAUGUGAUUUUGCUUCUGGGCCUACCACCCAUGUGCCCUACUGGUAGUAGCAUUGUUCCUUAAACUGGUGUUAUCCGUGCUGGUGGGUCUCCUCCCUAACU